ensembl:lncRNA
UUUUUUUUUUGGUGAGGAAGGUUGGCUCUAAGCUAGCAUUUGUUGCCAGUCUUCCUCUUUUUUUUUUCUCCCCAAAGCGCCAGUACAUAGUUGUAUAUCCUAGUUGUAAGUCUUCUGGUUCUUCUGUGUGGGAUGCCACCACAGCAUGGUUUGAUGAGCAGUGUGUAGGUCCAUGCCCAGGAUCCGAACCAGGGAAGUCUGGGCUGCCAAAGUGGAGCUCAGGAACUUAACCACUACACCACCGGGCCAGCCCCAAGACUUUCUAAUUAAUGUCUGUGGCUCCUGCUAGACUCAGAUGAACACAUAUGCAAUACAAAAAACAGGCUGCAGCAUCAGCUGUGUGAUUAGGAUUUGGAAACAAAAAUCCCACCCUGGCAAGGAGAUUUUAAUGGAAAGGCAAGGGAAGUUGUUAAUGGAAGAUUUUUGAUAUAAUAAACAAAAUUGGUAGAGAUCAUCUAAAUGUUCAGUAUAAAAGGUUUGAGUCAUACUUGGAUAAUUUUCUAAACUUUUGCAGGCAUAAAUUUGGAAUUUACUCUAAAAGAUAAUUAGGAAGAGAUAAAUGGUGCAAGUAGGCUCAAAAAGAGCUCCAUGUUAAUAAGGAAAAGUUUAGUUUUAAUGUGUUCCACUUUUUCUGUUUCCUAGCUCCCCAGAUUCCUCUAUGUCUAACCACUUGUCUUGUAAAUUUGAGCCUUAGCCCCAUGAGGAGCUGUGGAAAAAAAAUCAGGUGACUCAGUACAACCUAUACUUUUCAUUGUCAGUACAACUCAAGCAACUUUUUCCAUAUUGGUUGGUGAUAAAUUCAUUGUCAUUUCAGUACUAGUACAACAUCAUGCUGAAGGCAUUCCUGUGAAAAGUUUUAUCUUGUGAACAUUAUGCCAUUGUAACCAGGACAGCUCCUUGAAGGGCAUUAAUUACAACUUUGGGAUUUAUCCUCCUAUGGCUCUAGUCAAGGAAGUCACUUUAUUCUUUUUGUUUUCAUAAAGGCCCUAUUUGCUCAGGGGUCCAUCCCCUGAUACCUUAAAUGCCCUAAGGAGUUCCCAAGUUCUGCUAAAAGCAAAUCUAUUAUUGGACAAACCUAGGCUCUCUCUCCCAUAACAAUGAUAAUCAUAGCUAUUUUCAGACUCUGCUUUCCAUAGUUAGAUUUCAUACAUUAGCAAAGAUGGUAUAGGAGGACUAUUACGUUAAUGUUCUCAGGUCACAUGGCAACCAGAGAGCCCUGUAUCAGUUUAGACAUGAUGAGGACAUAGACCAGGAAGAGAAUGACAAGGAACGUGGAUAAACACAGGAAGGUCGGUACUGAAAGAAGUUGAUGGAGCACCACUUAAGAACCAGGUUUACUAUAAAAGAGCGAAUAUGACAAGAAUUAGAAAAAUGUCCAUUGGUAACCAUGGGGUUGAGAAGAGAGUGCUAAGCCAUCCGUUUCCCUGAUAAUGUUUGACAUAAAGGAAGAGAGAAGACAUUUUAUUCCACAGUCCUUAAAAGCUACCUUUGCUAGAGAGUUCAUUUCCCUCUUUUCCACUAAGAAGAAAAUUAAACCAUAAAGCUCCAAACUUUUGUUUUCAUUAAUUCUGUAUUUUUGGGGUUCCUUUUCCUCUAUCUCUUUUUACUUUUAGAAGAAUGCUGAAAGACAGGUUAUACAACAGUUAAAGAAAUAUCACACAAUUGCCACUUUCUUUUAAUUAAUGCAGUAAGGAAUUCAGGCAGCUUUGUAAGGGAAGAAAAUUAUGUCUGCGUCAGAACACGUACCCACUGCUUUUGAGUUCAAAUAUCUUAUGGUGUAUUACCUCUUAUUCUAGGGAAAUUUGAAAAUAUCCUGUGGAAUUUUCCAUCAUGCCUCAAAAGGUUAAUGAUCCUUUACAUUCCAAAAAUACUCAAUGGUGUGUAGAUAUCUUUGUGCCUGUCUGAAUCACCCUGAGCCACAUUCAAUGUUCCUAGCUCUCCAGCGUAACUCAACCAAUCAGAUAACUCUUGUAUCUUUUUUUUUUUUUUUUUGAGGAAUAUUAACCCUGAGCUAACAUCUGCCGUCAAUUCUCCUCUUUUUUCUGGCCUUGACGUGCCUAUCUUUCUCUGCUUUAUAUGUGAAACUCCUGCCACAGCACGCCUUGACAACUGGUGCAUAAGUCCACAUCGGGGAUCUGAACCGGACUGACAAGUGAUGCAGGUUCAAGCAAUGCAGGUCCACACCGGGGAUCUGAACCAGCGAACCCUGGGUCUCCAAAGCAGAAUGUGCGAACUUAACCACUGUGCUACUGGGCUGGCCCCCCUUGUAUCUUUUUUAAUAGUCAAGAUUACAGUAUUUGAGCCAGUAAAAGUCCCUCUAAAGUCUGCUGGUAGAUCUGUUUUGGUUGAAUUUGUCUUUUGCCAUAUUCUAUCAGAGAGUGUGGGAGGAGCAGAAGUGGCAAGCCUAUUUAGAAAUAUUUAAAUGGUGAGUUACUAUGUCUUAUAGCAGUAACUAUAUAGUAAACAUAUUUAUCUUUUCUAUGAAAGACUGAUAAUGCAC